UGAGGGCUCUUUCUUGAUUCGGUGGUUGGUGGUGCAUGGCCGUUCUUAGUUGGUGGAGUGAUCUGUCUGGUUAAUUCCGUUAACGAGCGAGACCCGGGCCUGCUCAUUAUGCCCUCAAGCUGUGAAUAGCAUUGGGUUCAUUCGAUACUUCUUAGAGGGAUCAGCGGAGUUGCAUCCGCGUGAAACCGGGCCAUAACAGGUCUGUGAUGCCCUUCGAUGUUCCGGGCCGCACGCGUGCUACACUGACGGGGACAAGGGGCUGGCACGCCGCGCGAAAGCAGUGGCGAAAACCUAGCAACCCCUGUCGUGCUUGGGACUAGGGCUUGAAACUGUUGCCUACGAACGAGGAAUUCCGAGUAAGCGCGAGUUAAAAACUUGCGUUGAUUACGUCCCUGCCCUUUGUACACACCGCCCGUCGCUACUACCGAUCGAACGGUCUAGUGAGGCUACCGGACGGGCCCCGGUCCCUGCCUGGUCAUGCGGGUGGGGGCGUCAUGGAAGAUGCCCAGAAGGGAGUCGAACUAGAUUGUUUAGAGGAAGUAAAAGUCGUAACAAGGUUUCC
rnacentral:rRNA from 1 species